CUACUAUUGCAAGUGGUGAUUUUAAAAACACACAUGUAUUCAUUCCGAAAAUACCACUCUUAUCAUCACAAGAUGAAAAGUUACCCGUCGCUUUCAAAAGAACACAGUUUCCACUCCGAUUAUGUUUUGCUAUGACAAUUAACAAAGCUCAAGGUCAGACAUUAGAUUUUGUUGGAAUUUAUUUACGUGCACCAGUAUUCUCUCAUGGUCAACUCUAUGUUGUUUUAUCUUGAGCAAAGAAUUCGAAAAAUGUAAAGAUACUGAUACGCCCACCAACGCCAGAGAAUAAGGAUGAUGACUCCACCUACAAUAUAGUUUAUGAGGAAGUCAUCAGAAAAGCAUUCUUUAAAUUAAUUGUAUUUUUAUCAAUAAUUCAUUACUUCUCUUUCCAACAUGUAUAAAUAUGAUUACUGAUCUACACUGUGAUGCUUGAUAUUUCAAAUAAAGUUUGUUUAAUGAAUUCAUACUGGCUCUUUCAUUAGGUAAACUCUACUUACUAAGAUCUUGCUUAUCCCCAAGCAUUAGAAGUAAAAUCUCUAAGUAUUAAUGAGGUAGAAAUAGAAGUAGCAUAUGUGAUAUCUGUAUCUUUUGGUAUUUAUAGUUGAAAUCCUCUGUUCAUUAGCCUGCCAUCGUGGUCAAUAUACUUGCUACUCAUACCACCAAAAAUCUACAGUGUAGUACCUUCCACUUUUGUGCUUAUUGCAAAUAAAAAUGGUUGUUCAUACACAUAUCUAUUACAUAAGUCUUUUUCUUGUGGUUAUGUUGUUUCAUUCCGGUAUAGAUAAGUGUCAUUUAAGCAACACUAUUUUAUUAGGUUGAAAAAAUUCUCAGCUAAGAUUUGGAACUGUGCAGUAACUACUUACCAACAUAUCUUCUGAUAAAGUUGGCAUUUUCCUCUUGAGUUACCAUGAAUAUGAUAGAUUCCAAUGAGGGACAAAAUAUGUCAUCGAGGGAUUUUACUUUAUCAUGAAUCUAUUGAUUCUAUAUGACUUAUUACUACUCCCCCUUUCGCACUUUAUUCGUACAUGGAGUGUGGUGGGGGGAAAUGGAAUUUUAUUUUUUAUUUCACAAAUGGGCAUGCUAGAUCAUAUAUCUAUAUACGGAUAAAUACAGGUGGAUUCGUACCUGAGAUCUUUCUACAAAUAGUGGGGAUAUCCACCCCUAUGGCCAUGUUCUAUUCGGAGGAAUAAAAUAAAAAUAGUCUUUUGGAGAGAUGGGACACUUUGUAUUCUGUUAUCACCUCAAUUGGAAAUGAGUUACCUGAUAUGUUGAGUUUCAUCAUUGUAGAAAUAACUUUUGUCCAUUAACCAUGUCCUGGACACAUUUUCAGACAGAAUUUUACGAAUCCAAUUAAGAAAAUCAUCUUGGAAAAGUUCUGACUUUGUGCGUACGAGUCUAUCGAUCUUGUCAUUCGUGGAGGAACAUAUCUUUGCACCAAUAAUUAGUGAGAGAAGCCAAUAAAAGGUAAGGCCUCUAGGUGCAGAUGAGACAGAAAUGGAAACAGCGGAUGUGAUCAC
rnacentral:lncRNA from 1 species